UAGUUAUAAUAAAUCACAUAUCUACCCCAGUCAAAAAAAAACACACGUACCUACGUACGUAUACGUGCGGAGUCAACCAAUGCUCUAUCUUUCCUGCGAAAAGAAACCAAAGCCGUAUCCUACCAGGACACUUCCAUUGGAGGGAUAUAUCUGGACGAGCAGUUCUAUUUUUUUUACAGCCUCACAAUAAAAGAUUUCCUCUUGGCAGACAUCGUCUCUCUUUCUUCGCACGCGUUCCUCUGCACCGUCUUCGGCGUCCUCUCCAGUAUCUCCGUGGCAGCUGCUCCAAGCAUGACUCACCACGAUCCAUGUAUCAUCAGGUGUGCUGAUCCAUACUCACUUUAAGGAUAUAAUCAUGCGCAGAAUACAGAAGCUUCGAUGAGGCCAGCCAAUGAAGGCGCUAUAAUUGACUGGUGGUGCGGUGCUUCACCAUCCUGGACCCGAGUUCAUAGCCUACUGCUGAUAUCCAAACUCUACAUGCAAAUAAUCCAAAACACAACUUACAUGAUCUGUUCCUAAAUCCAUCCAAUUUCAUAUAGAGCCCAACUAGAUCGGCUUGAUUUCUAAUGGCAGGUCAAGAAAAGAUAGGUUUUUUCACCAAACAAAAGGGAUAUAUGUAUUAUUCUCUACGCUAUUUUUGGCUCUACUAUGUACUAUAUGAAGUGCUGAAAGUCCUUAAUUCAAUUUCUUUGGAAUUAUAUGUGCGCAAGAUCAAAUCAGUCAGGUUUCUUUUCAUAUAAACAUAGGAGACGUAGAAAUUUUUAGUCUCAUAUAUUCUGUAAGCUGUAAACAUCACCAUGCAUACAUUGUUUACAUUGUCGUGCAUUCACUCUUUCUUAGGGUAUGUAUUCCUUCUACUCCACUUUGUAAUUAUCUUUAAAACGUUUUCUUUGUCAAUGUUCCCUUUUAAUUUCAAGCUGAGAUGGCCUGACUCCCUGUGUCCUCUUAUCUGUUGGAAGAGAGUAAGGUACCGCAUGACAUUUGUGAGUUUUCUUACUGUCAAAAAUAUAUGUUUAGCGCUAAAUUAGUGUAUUCUGAAUCUACUUAAUAUCAUUCUGUAAACAUACAUAGAUGUUAUACUACAUAUGUAGCUGAGACAAAAUAUCGAUGCCUAGAUCAUCUCCAAGGCUUCUUAUUUUCAAGAGGCAAUAAAGUUCUUCGUCCAGGUAAUCUCUACCAUGGGAAAUAGUUCUACCAUUUAUAAGAAAAUAUACAUGAUGCCAACACACAUACUAAAUAAUGGAAUGCUUAUCCGAUGAUUCAGUGUUCUUAAUCCUUAGAUUUAUGUUCCUUACCAAGCUAGACUAGCCACACGUAACGACUUCGCUUUGACUACCUUUCUGCUCAAUUUAGAAGUUUUCAUUCUGUAAUGGCAAUUGAAAUUGGGAGUGUAUUUAUCAUGACAAUGUACUUUCUUACAUCGUUUCAGUUUUACCAAUUUUACAUGGAAGCACACAGAUUUACUUGAGAACAUGUAAACCAUUACGAAUCUACAAAACUCACUCCUAUUUAUUAUGCACAUUAGGUAAAAGAGCACUAAAUAGAUGAUAUGUGAAAACACCUUACUAUAUUGUUACGUAUAGGGCACUGAUAUAUAAUUGAAAUCCUCCAAAGUAUAUGAGAAGAGUUGGGCGAAAAUGAAUUACUUAAUGAAGUAUUUCAUGUUCAGAAAUUUUGGAGCGCACACGCGAAGCCUGUUGUGUUCCAGCACAACACCGUAUGAGUCGUCCGAUUUUGCUGCACGACCGUUGGCAUGCAUGUUGCGAUGGCAGCUUUGACAUCAUGGUGGCAUUUUGCAAAUGUCUCGCAACGUCGCGCAAUAGCUCAGAGAAUGAAACAGUACCUGAAGCUUCAGGAAAAGAUUCUACACUUCUGUACUUUUGGAGGUCUUGAAUUAGUCUAUCUCCACAUAUGUUUCUAUAUUUUUUCUGUCGUGGAAAAGAUAUCAAGCAAUUAUAAAUACAGACCGAUGUUUGUGCUUAUGUAUGAGAUACAAAUAAAUCAUGUUUGAUUUU